UACGUAGGGGGCUAGCGUUGUCCGGAAUCAUUGGGCGUAAAGCGCGUGUAGGCGGUCCGGUAAGUCCGCUGUGAAAGCCGGGGGCUCAACCCUCGGAUGCCGGUGGAUACUGUCGGGCUUGAGUACGGAAGAGGCGAGUGGAAUUCCUGGUGUAGCGGUGAGAUGCGCAGAUAUCAGGAAGAACACCAAUGGCGAAGGCAGCUCUCUGGGACGGUACUGACGCUGAGACGCGAAAGCGUGGGGAGCGAACAGG
rnacentral:rRNA from 1 species